CUGUUACCGGUCAUUACCCCACGCCUCAGCUCCCACGCCCGGGUGUGAAGAGACGGUGCUGUUACCGGUCAUUACCCCACGCAGCUCCCACGCCCGGGUGUGAAGAGACGGUGCUGUUAACGGUUAUUACCUCACGCAGGUCCCACGCCCGGGUGUGAAGAGACGGUGCUGUUACCGGUCAUUACCCCACGCCUCAGCUCCCACGCCCGGGUGUGAAGAGACGGUGCUGUUAACGGUUAUUACCUCACGCCUCAGCUCCCACGCCCGGGUGUGAAGAGACGGUGCUGUUACCGGUCAUUACCUCACGCAGCUCCCACCCCCGGGUGUGAAGAGACGGUGCUGUUAACGGUCAUUACCCCACGCCUCAGCUCCCACGCCCGGGUGUGAAGAGACGGUGCUGUUAACGGUCAUUACCCCACGCAGGUCCCACCCCCGGGUGUGAAGAGACGGUGCUGUUAACGGUCAUUACCCCACGCCUCAGCUCCCACGCCCGGGUGUGAAGAGACGGUGCUGUUAACGGUCAUUACCCCACGCCUCCGGCUCCCAUGCCUCGGCCAACUACAGGUCUGAUGACAGGGCCUGGAGGGAAGGGCAUGAAUCCUGCUUCGUAUUUUGCCAGCCAGCGCCCACCCCCAGUAACAAUCCAAUGACCGUGCAGACGGUCUGUGUGCAGCACCCCAUCCCCUUUUUGGACCGUCCUGUCCAAAUGCGUUGUCCUUCCUGCAACAAGAUGAGCGUGAGUCAGCUGUCCUGCAACGCCGGUGCUCUGACCUGGCUGUCCCGCGGGAGCCCGUGCCUGCUGGGGUGCGUGGUGGGCCUGCUGCUUCAUCCCCUUCUGCGUGGACGCCCUGCAGGACGUGGACCGUUACUGUCCCAGCUGCAGAGCUCUGGUGGGCACCUACAAGCGUUUGUAGGACUCACCCAGACGUGGAGGGAGCCGGGUGCCGCAGGAAGCCCUUUCCACCUCUCAUCAAGCUUCACACCUGGUGGAGGUUCUGCCCUGGUGGUCUCACCUCUCCAGGGGGCCCACCUUCAUGUCUUCUUUUGGGGGGAAAUGUCGCAAAACUAACAAACCUCCAAACCCCGGCAACUGCUGCUUGGAGUCGUGCCUAGGACUUGCAAAGACAUUCCCCUUGAGUGUCAGUUCAACGGUUUCCUGCCUCCCUGUGACCCUCAGUCCUCCCAUCUAACUGUGAUCAUUGCCCUCUCCGAGUAUCUUCCAGUGAUCUGCCAUCAGUGGCUCUUUUUUUCUGCCUCCGUGGGCCUUUCUGGUGGCAGCCUCAAACUGAGAAGCCACAGUUGCCUUAUUUUUGAGGCUGUUCUGCCCGGAGCUCAGCUGAACCAACCUUUAGUGCCUACCAUUAUCUUAUCCAUCUCUUCCCAUCCCUGAUGAUAAAGAUCUUGCCUUACAGACUUUACAGCUUGGCUUUUAGAUUCUGUAACUUCAGACUUCAUUAGCACACAGAUUCACUUUAAUUUCCUAAUUUAUUUUUAAGUACAAAGAGGGGCUAUUAACACCCAGUACAGACAUACCCAUGAGGUCAUAAAUGCAUGCUAGAAAACCAGGGCUGGAUUUUAUCACUGCGCUGUCUCCCCUUGUUUCUCUGUGCCAGAUCUUCAGUGCCCCUUUCCAUACAGGGAAUUUUUUCUCAUAGGUAAUUAUAUGAACAGUUUUUAUGACCUCCUUUUGGUCUGAAAUACUUUUUAACAGAAUUUCUUUCUUUAAACAAACAAACAAACAAACAAAAACAGAGACGGGGUCUUACUGUGUUGCCCAGGCUGGUCUCGAACUCCUGGGCGCAAGUGAUCCUUCUGCCUUGGCCUCCCGAAGUGCGGGAUUGCAGGCAUAAGCUACCGUGUGGGGCCUGAACAUAAUUUCAAGAGGAGGAUUUAUAAAACAAUUUUCUCUAAUCAUAUGAUUGGUGUCAUUUUCCCAUUUGCCAAGGUAGUCUCACUUAAAAAAAAAAUAAGGAAAAGAAAUGGAUAAUUUCAUCCGCUGCCUUUACUUGGGGUUAACGUGGUUCUUAAACACCUUCAUCUUGGAACUCUCCAAGUGGGGUCCCUCUUGGGUUCCUGGUGGUGGGUUUUGAACGACAAGGGAAAGCACAUUUUGAGCAUCUCUGGGUACCACGGUGCGGAACACUUGGGAACCAGAGCUGUUUCAGAGGAAUCUGAAGUCUGCUUUUAGUUUUCAGAGACACGGCUUGUUGUAAAACAUCAGAAGACAUGACUUCCAGGACUCAAGCAGCAAGCCAGGAUUCUAGGUUGGCUGCUGUGUCAUCUUUGAAGUCAAGACUAGGCUGGGCUCGGCCUUCAAGAGUCCUUGUUUUGACAAUAAUUCAGCCUAGGGAACUCAUGUGAAUACUACUAUGUAGAAAUAAAGCCUAGACCUUGAGCAAACAUCUGUAUAUUGGUUGAAAAUGAUCGUGGUAACUGUUGAUCCCCCUUAUGACAUUUGACGUUUGGAAAAUUCCAGUAAUUACCAUUUUUGCAAUGAAUAUGGAUACCACGUAGUACUUUGGUGUUACCUGCUUUUGAAAAAUAAAGUCUUUGGUUCACCUGGUAAAAAAAAAAAAAAAA